GUUGUGUACCUAUCAUUGUUGAGUAAGAAUCGAUAAAUCUGGUAUUAUCUGAUGGGGUAAUGCUAUGGGUACAACUAAGUUGUACCCCAAUAACACCAUAUGAGGUGGCCUAUUUUGAAUUGGUUGGUGUGGGGUGAAACAGACUGAAUGGACCCCACACCCACCAAUCAAUGGAACACCUUACAAUGGUGUAUAUUUGGGGUACAACUUAGUUGUACACAUAGAUUUCCCUAUCUAGCGUCGCCUUAAUUCCUCUACGCGCUUCUGAAUUAGCUAGCAAUUAAAUGUACUUUGGGCAACGUGGUAUGACGUACCUUCUACAAUAGGCAAGGUCAAUAAUUAUUGCAAGUACCAGUCCUUUUCUCUACCCUUCCUACGGCUGGCGGGUCGCAAUAUUAAUGAAGAAAGAAAGGGUAAAAAUUAAAUACAUUAUUGGGCUCCAAAGUAUGGUAUAUUCUCUCUAUCUGUCCAAUAUAAUUCCCUCAUUCUGAGAUGGCGUUUGAAAUGGUUGUCUGGCCAUACAAGCAAGGGAUUAAAUGUUUGAAAACUGACCGGAGAGCGGAAUCGAAAAAAUGACCGGAUCACGGUCAUCACCGUUUCAACCGUCUGGUCCAUCCAUUAUCGAUCGUGAUAUCAUAAAUUAUGUAUAUAGAUAAUAAUAAAACUUAAUUAUAAUUGGGGUCUAAUUUCAUAAUGUAACAUUAAGUGUCACAGUGGUUUCCACUUAAAUUACAGGAGUGUAAGCCGUAAUUUGAUGUUUAAAACCCCGAAUCAAUCACGUGAAUCUCAGUCUCUCUUCAGUCUUCUCUCACACUGUCACAUAGUGACCCAGUCACCCAAGCCCAAGGUCCCAACCCUCUGUUCCUUUGUGAAAUCAGUCGAUCCAACCCUCCCCUGUUGCGAUUCUCUCUCAACCGUUGGCCCUCGCUGCUGGCCACCACCCCACCACCACAUGGACCACUCCACCCCUCUCUCACUCCUCUUUCUCCUCUAAGUCCACCACCAUCGGCACCAAAUCCACCACCAUUGGCACCAAAUCUACCACCAUGGCCACCGAAUCAUAGACCACUCCACCACCCUCUCCCUCCUCUUCCUCUCCCGAGUCCACCCUUGCCGGUUCGUCAAAAAUCGCUCCGGUUUGACGGGUUCACGAUUGAACCGCGGGUCGUGACGGUUCAGUCCGGUUUGAUGUGCUCACUGGGUUAAAGGGGUUGAUCGGACAGUUUCUUCGGCCGGUUCUAUGGUUCAAUCGGUGCAACCGGCUGGUCCGAUCUGAGUUUUUAUUUAACCACUGUGUUUGUGAGAGAUUGUAUUUUGUUCACACUAAAAAUGAGUAUGUCCUAUUAUUAAGGAAUUGAUAUGGAGUUUAUCUGAUACGCCUUAAUUAUUCCUCUACUCCUUCCUGAAUUACGCUGCAAUUAACUGUAUUUUGUGCAACGUUGUAUGACGUACUUCCACACAAUAGGCAAGGUUCAUAAUUAAGUGCAGUACAGUCCUUUUCUCUUACCACCUGUCCCUGGUCGGGUUCCAAUUUAAAUUGAAGAAAACAAAGGGUAAAAAUUAAAAUCAUUAUUGUUCCAAAGAUGGUAUAUUCUCUCUUCUGUCCAAAUAUAUUCAUCAUGUAUGAGAUUGGCGUUUGAAAUCUGUCUGGCCAUAACAUCAAGGGAUUAUUUGGUGCUCUAAGAGCAUUGAUUUAUACUAUUUAAUGAUUGUUACUGGUGCAUAUGUUGAACACUACUCGGACAAAAAGAAGUGGACUCUAUUGUUUAGACCAAUCACUUCAAUGAUAGAGUAUCACUAAGAUUUGCUCUAAGCGCACUAAAUAAUUUGUCGCGUUGAGUACCAUAACGUUGUCUAAAUUAUCUAAUUGAAAAAUGUGUCAUACUAGGCCCAAUAGAGAAAAAGGGUUAAAUUUGUCCCGAGGUAUGCGCUUGUGAUUUGAGUUCCCAGUUUAUCAAUAUUGUCAAAAAUAUAAGAAAAAGCACGGAAAAUAUAUAUAAAAAAAGCUUCAAUUAGCUAGAGGUGGCAGGGGAAAUUGACAUUCGUGUAGAGGCACGGAAAUUGACAUUCGUGUAGAGGCAAAAAAAAAAAUUUAUUAGCACGACUAAGAGAAGUUAUUUUACUUUUUUUUCCUCCAAAAAUCUCUUUUUAAAUUUUCGAUCCAAAUACAGGCUUAAAAUUUGUAAAUAAUAUUUUCCUUUCCGUAGUCCUCUCUCUGGCUCCUUAGGCUCCGUUUGGUAGUGCUUAUUUUAAGCAAAAAAAUUGCUUAAAAUAAGCAACAGAAAAACUAGAACUUAAAAAAGCUAUCAUGUGACGUUUGGCACCAUUAAAAAAAGCUAAAAAAAAUUUAAACAUGAGGAUUAUUUGGUUAUAAUUAAGCUUUAGUAACCAGACACAAUCCUUUGUGGCAAACAAAGGUUUAACAGUAUUGUCUUCUGCCAAAGGUCCCUUCUGAUAUCUUGUGGCCCCAAACCCGAUUCGUUCGUGGUCGUGAAGCAGA
rnacentral:lncRNA from 1 species